GACAGAGGUGCCGAGCGUUAGGCGGAAUCACUGGGCUUAAAGCGUGUGUAGGCGGGCCGUUAAGUACCUUGUGAAAUCCCCCGGCUCAACCGGGGAACGGCUGGGUAUACUGGCGGCCUUGAGCGGCCUAGGGGCAGAUGGAACAGACGGUGGAGCGGUGAAAUGCGUAGAUAUCUGGAGGAACACCGGUGGCGAAGGCGGCGUUCUGGACUGUUACUGACACUGAGGAACGAAAGCCAGGGGAGCAAACGGG
rnacentral:rRNA from 1 species